AUGCUUAUCUUUAUGUCCAUUCGUCGAGAUGUCGAUCUAAGUCCAGCAGAGAGGCGCAACCCUUAUCGCACGCUCUCCCUCCGGCCCAUUCCGGCCGCUCUGCGUCACUCCCCUCGGAUAUCGUGGAGGUAGGUGGGGACGACAGUCAAGUCCUCACGGCCUUUAUGUGAGGGGAUACUCAUGUGCUACAAUGCGCGGUACAACGCGUCGCAUACCCGGCGAGGGGGAGCUAAUCGCAAAAAGCCGUGCUCAGUUUGGAUUGGAGUCUGCAACCCGACUCCAUGAAGCUGGAAUCGCUAGUAAUCGCAGAUCAGAACGCUGCGGUGAAUACGUUCCCGGGCCUUGUACACACCGCCCGUCACAUCACGAGAGUUUGUAACACCCGAAGUCGGUGGGGUAACCUUUUUGGAGCCAGCCGCUUAAGGUGGGACAGAUGAUUGGGGUGAAGUCGUAACAAGGUA
rnacentral:rRNA from 1 species